rnacentral:rRNA from 1 species
AACGAACGCUGGCGGCAUGCCUAACACAUGCAAGUCGAACGGGAUCCUAGCUUGCUAGGUGAGAGUGGCGGACGGGUGAGUAACACGUGGGAAUCUGCCUUUUGGUUCGGGAUAACCGCGGGAAACUGCGGCUAAUACCGGAUGCUCCCGAGAGGGAAAAGAUUUAUCGCCAAAAGAGGAGCCCGCGUCCGAUUAGGUAGUUGGUAGGGUAAUGGCCUACCAAGCCAACGAUCGGUAGCUGGUCUGAGGGGAUGAUCAGCCACACUGGGACUGAGAUACGGCCCAGACUCCUACGGGAGGCAGCAGUGGGGAAUAUUGGACAAUGGGGGCAACCCUGAUCCAGCAAUGCCGCGUGAGUGAUGAAGGCCUUAGGGUUGUAAAGCUCUUUUGCCAAGGAAGAUGAUGACUGUACCUGGAGAAUAAGCCCCGGCUAACUUCGUGCCAGCCGCCGCAGUAACAC